rnacentral:lncRNA from 1 species
GAUACCGUAGAAUUUGAUAACCAAAUGUAGAGACGGCUAACUCCAAGCUUGAUUUCGGUUUCGCAGUAAUGCUGAUAGGUAUCGGUGGCACUUUCAAAGAACAAUCCUCAGGAGGUUUUGAUUUGAUACCUACUUCUUCCCCUGCAACAUGAUCAGUAUUAUUCUGAUAAGCUGGAUCUCUGCAAUCCUGGUCAGGAUCCUCUCUUUCGUAUGUCUUCGGUACGUCAUAGUGUGUAUGGGUUCCCUGAUGCACCAAAUGAAGAAACACUUGGAUUGCCCGCCUUGACAACUCAGUAGCAGACAAGUCAAUGGCCAUGUCUUGGUCAGAACUUUCAGCAAUUUGUACAGUGAAUUGUGGAACAGCCUCUGACUUAGUUGGCUGAUACUCCUUUGAUAGGUCGGUCUUAAAGAACUGUUGUAUCUUAGGAGGCAGGAGUUUGUAGGGCAUGCCAGAAGUAGCCUAUCACCAAAAAGGAAAAAAAGGAUUUAGUCUCACGUGUUGAUACUCUUCUCAGAGACUUCUAAUCAACAAAGUAGGGAGCACAGAGAUUUGAAAAAGAAGAGUACACGAAACUAAGGCUUAUAUUCACAAAAUACAAGAAAAAAAGCUAUCCGAAAGUACACUAAACAAGCAUAUACGAGAGGUAUUGGAGAAACAAAUUAAGUAAGAAGUUAAGCAUACCAGAAUUAUCAUCUUUGUGGAAACUCGCAAUGAUUCUACUUGCUCAAGAAAUGUGUUCCAAGCAUGUGAAACUCGAGAAGAAUACUGCAACUCCAUUUUCUCCACUGUUUCUGGACGAACGGGAGAAGAAUUUUCUUUUAAAGAAUCAUCAUCACACUCGACCUCCUCAUUCAGUGGAGUUUCUGUCUCUACAGCCCACAAGUCAAUCCUUGGCAUGAAUACCACACAUGAUUUCCUGCUAGAACAUUUCACUACAGGUCGGACAGAUUUACCAGUUAGUAAUCUGGAGAUGGACUAGAACCAAGCAAAUCAACGAAAGACUAAAAGAAAAAAAGUAUGUAGCUGCUUAAAUAUCAUUAUCAGGUACGUAAUGAAAUGUUAAUAACAGACGUACUUAAUAAGUGAGUUACGCCUAGCACCAGAUCCCCAUUUCCUUCUUGUGAAAUUGUCGCCGUGUCUAUCUUCUGCAUCUCCGCAUUUCCAAUAAAACAAUGCAAGAUGCAAGAAGCAAGAUGACGUUGACCAGAUCUAGGUCCUCCAGCAAUAAGCAGUUGGAACCCAGACUUGUUCAUUGAUUCUGAAGGAGCAUUCCCCAACCCAGGAUGUCGGCGGACUCUGUGUACCAUGAACUGCGCAGAACCCAAACUACAGUCGCCUGCACCAGGGGAGCUUGGAACAGAUCUAACCGAGUCACAUCCUCCAUCUAGUAUCCCAGCAUAAGAAAGUCUCUGAACUAUAUCUUUUACAACAUCUACGUCCUGGAGAAGGCUAUCAACAUGAGACCACCAGCAAUCAUCAUUUAUCUUCUUGUCGCCCAAAGCAGAACAGAUCACAUUUUUGAAAUCAACCGCAGCUUUGGAAAGUAGAGGCGGCAGCACGAUGCGCUCUUCAAGAUGAAAAGCAACGAGUAAAGAACACAGUGAUGGUAACAAAGAAGGCACCAAGUAAACAGGAAGAGGAGAAGAAUUUAAGAUCAAGGAGAACAGUCUGAUGCAAGGAAACUACUCCUGAAUCCUCAAUCAACAUUGCAGAAUUCGAAGUAUCAUCACCAUUCUCUUUGAUCAAAACUAAGCCGUCUGUAAUCUCCACAACUGGCUGAUGAUUGUCGGUAAGAUCCGUAGAUGCUCUAGGGUCUGGACAAUUGAUGUUUUGUGUAUCUUCUUUCAGGUCUCCUUUUGAUCGAUCAGAUGUUCCUUGCUCAGUUGGCUCAUCCCUCACUGUCGCAUCAGCUACGGAACACGACAAUGGAUUCAUCGACUCUGUUUGAGCAUUUGAUUCAAAACUGUAAACAGUGAAAUUGUGUUAGAUAUACAACAAGCUUUAGAAACAAACAUACAUAAAAACAAAGUAUAUCAAGGCGUACCUUCGCAUUGCAUAAACCCAACUGUUAACCAGAUCUUCCAGAUAAGCAACUUGAGACAAAAUUCUGAUAUAUUGACAUCUGUCCUUUCCAGCAUCGAUUUUCAUAUUGAUCCGCCCAACUAAGAGCUCGAGAACUUUCCUUACUUCAAAAGAGACUUCCCUCAGUGAUGUAUAGGUUCCUCUAUACGCAGAUAAUCCAACAGCAACGAGGCCCCUGGCAGUGCCAGAUAAAUCUUUGCCUCUAACAUUGUUGGAACCGGAAGCAGUAGUACUCUGCUCUGAUGGAUUAUGAGGACGAAUGAUACACGAAUUAAACGGCCAUCCUCUCCAAGGACCCGAAACAUCUGCGCUUGGCCCUUCCUUAAGCUUUGAUGUCACCCAACAAAGCUCAGCAAAUUGAGGAUACCGUAGAAUUUGAUAACCAAAUGUAGAGACGGCUAACUCCAAGCUUGAUUUCGGUUUCGCAGUAAUGCUGAUAGGUAUCGGUGGCACUUUCAAAGAACAAUCCUCAGGAGGUUUUGAUUUGAUACCUACUUCUUCCCCUGCAACAUGAUCAGUAUUAUUCUGAUAAGCUGGAUCUCUGCAAUCCUGGUCAGGAUCCUCUCUUUCGUAUGUCUUCGGUACGUCAUAGUGUGUAUGGGUUCCCUGAUGCACCAAAUGAAGAAACACUUGGAUUGCCCGCCUUGACAACUCAGUAGCAGACAAGUCAAUGGCCAUGUCUUGGUCAGAACUUUCAGCAAUUUGUACAGUGAAUUGUGGAACAGCCUCUGACUUAGUUGGCUGAUACUCCUUUGAUAGGUCGG